rnacentral:rRNA from 1 species
AUACGGAGGAUGCAAGCGUUAUCCGGAUUUAUUGGGUUUAAAGGGUGCGCAGGCGGCGCGUUAAGUCAGUGGUGAAAUGUCCCGGCUCAACCGGGGAACUGCCGCUGAUACUGACGUGCUCGAGUACGGACGGCGCCGGCGGAAUGUGUCAUGUAGCGGUGAAAUGCUUAGAUAUGCCACAGAACACCGAUCGCGAAGGCAGCUGGCGAGGCCGGUACUGACGCUCAGGCACGAAAGCGUGGGGAUCAAACAGGAUUAGAUACCCUGGUAGUCCACGCAGUAAACGAUGAGGACUUGUUGUCGGCGAUAGAGUGUCGGUGACAAAGCGAAAGCGAUAAGUCCUCCACCUGGGGAGUACGAUCGCAAGGUUGAAACUCAAAGGAAUUGGCGGGG